rnacentral:lncRNA from 1 species
ACAAAUGGAAAAUAAAACCCCAUAAAUAGUCAAACCUAUUUUCCUAAAAGCAAUAACUAUACCCCAGCCUAAUAAAUGGACUUUGCCAUUUGAAAACGCAAAUCACAAUAAAAAAAAGUCCAUUUCCAAAUAUUUCCUUUCCCAAAACCAGAUCCUUAUGGGUCUCAAAAUCAGAAGUCAACAAUGGCCUGAAAAACAUCACUAUCUAUUUUCUCCUCCCGACUCUUACUUCCCUUCACUACUACUUCCCCUAUCAGUGAGUAGCCCAACAUUACCUUGAACCCGAUUUUCAUUGCACAGUACCAGAGAUAUUCCCUCCAACCGUUCCCCUUCAAUCUUUCUCCACCGCCUCAUUUACGAAAUCUGGCACCCCGUCAAGAAGAUAAGUAUUCCUUUCCCCCUUAAUCCUUCAGGGGCCAAAAGAUGACCCACUUGGUUCCCCUACCUCUGAAUAUGCGAGAAUACAAAGUUUUUAAAUCUCUUCCUAAAAAAGUUUAGCUUUGAGAUGUAAGUAUUGAUGCAUGAAUCAUCUUUUCUAUUUGUCUGCAGUUUCUUUAUCACCGUAAGCGAAUCGCCUUUGAUCAUCGCAUCUUGAAACCCUAAAUCAAUGCCCAAUCAGACUACUUGGAGACAUGCAAUAGCUACCGCAGCGAACCCCAUUGGUAUGUGAUUAUUAAUAUUUUGUUGACCCCAUAACAACCCCUUUUGAUUUAUGGUAACAAUCCUCGAACAUUUUUUUAGAGAGUGAGCUUGAAAAGCCCCAUCAAAAUUUAUCUUUAUGAAAGCGUUCACUGGAGGCCUCCAUCUUACAAUCUCAACUCGGGUAACAAGUAACAGUUUGUUUAAGGCAUCUAAUUCUUCUAAUUGAGCUUUAAUCAUUUCUGCUAUUGCUUGAGCGUGAUUUUUAAUCCCAUCAUGCACAUAUUUAUUUAUUUCAGUCCAUAACACCUAAAGGGCACACCCCACUAUCUUGCAAAUCUGGUUAGACGAGGUAGAAACUAAAUUAUCAAGUCAAUCCUAAAAGAUAAGAACAGUGAACUCCAUAUGAUAGUAAAUGUUUAAUUUGUUCCACACUUCUACUACGAUGAUACAAUCUUGAAACGAGUUCCAGAUUAUAAUUUUUAUCUUUUCCGGCAGGUUAAGUUUCCAUAGCUUCUUGAAAAAAUUGUACAAUUUAUUUGAUUCUAGUAAGGCCUAGAUAAAAAUGAAUUUUGUAUAAGAAUGUUGUACCCACUACGAACCGAGAAUACCCCAGACGCCUCACCUUGCUAGACAAUUGAAUCCACCUGAAGUGCCUGUGCUAAAGGAAUACAUAGAAUUUUCCUUGCUUUCUUAGCACUAAACAUACUGGUAAUAAACUGAAAAUUACACUGCCCAGUUUGUUGAUCAAUUAAAUCAGAAACAUUUACUAUAUUUUGGCCAGUAUAUCUUGUCUAAAUUCUG